GGAGUCUGGGUCGUAUCUCAGUCCCAAUGUGGCCGAUCACCCUCUCAGGCCGGCUACCGAUCGUCGCCUUGGUGGGCCGUUGCCCCGCCAACUAGCUAAUCGGACGCAAGCUCAUCCCAUGCCGAUAAAUCUUUCGUCAACCCCCUAUGCAGGGAGCCACUAUAUCCGGUAUUACCCGCGCGUUGGCACGGCUAUUCCCGGGCAUGGGGCAGAUUGCUUACGCGUUACUCACCCGUUCGCCGCUAUGCAUUGCUGCACCGCUCGACUUGCAUGUGUUAAGCCUGUAGCUAGCGUUCAUC
rnacentral:rRNA from 1 species